UACACCGAAAAACCCUCGCGACAAGGUCGCCCCUGUGGUCGCUGUACAGGUGGUGCAUGGCCGUGGUCAGCUNGUGUCGUGAGCUGGUGGGUUAAGUCCCGGAACGAGCGCAACCCUUGUCCCGNGUUGCCAGCAGGCCCUUGUGGUGCUGGGGACUCACGGGAGACCGCCGGGGUCAACUCGGAGGAAGGUGGGGACGACGUCAAGUCAUCAUGCCCCUUAUGUCUUGGGCUGCACACGUGCUACAAUGGCCGGUACAACGAGCUGCGAUACCGCGAGGUGGAGCGAA
rnacentral:rRNA from 1 species